rnacentral:rRNA from 1 species
GAUGAACGCUAGCUACAGGCUUAACACAUGCAAGUCGAGGGGAAACGACAUCGAAAGCUUGCUUUUGAUGGGCGUCGACCGGCGCACGGGUGAGUAACGCGUAUCCAACCUGCCCACCACUUGGGGAUAACCUUGCGAAAGUAAGACUAAUACCCAAUGAUAUCCCACGAAGGCAUCCGAAUGGGAUUAAAGAUUUAUCGGUGAUGGAUGGGGAUGCGUCUGAUUAGCUUGUUGGCGGGGUAACGGCCCACCAAGGCAACGAUCAGUAGGGGUUCUGAGAGGAAGGUCCCCCACAUUGGAACUGAGACACGGUCCAAACUCCUACGGGAGGCAGCAGUGAGGAAUAUUGGUCAAUGGGCGAGAGCCUGAACCAGCCAAGUAGCGUGCAGGAUGACGGCCCUAUGGGUUGUAAACUGCUUUUAUGCGGGGAUAAAGCGGGCGAUGUGUCGCCCCUUGCAGGUACCGCAUGAAUAAGGACCGGCUAAUUCCGUGCCAGCA